rnacentral:rRNA from 1 species
UACGUAGGGUGCGAGCGUUACUCGGAAUUACUGGGCGUAAAGCGUGCGCAGGCGGUUUUGUAAGCCAGAUGUGAAGUCCCCGGGCUUAACCUGGGAAUGGCAUUUGGGACUGCAAGGCUGGAGUGCGGCAGAGGAGACUGGAAUUCCUGGUGUAGCAGUGAAAUGCGUAGAUAUCAGGAGGAACACCGAUGGCGAAGGCAGGUCUCUGGGCUGACACUGACGCUCAUGCACGAAAGCGUGGGGAGCAAACAGG